rnacentral:lncRNA from 1 species
UCUGCCCCUCAGGAUCUCACCCAACACCCUGUUUCGGUCCCUGCAACAGGGAGGGUCCCUCUCUGGUUGCCAGUGGCCUCAGAGGUGCCUCAUGGGAGCGUCACUGCCCUGGCCCUCACCCUAGCUCAGCAUGGGGUGCAGGAACCGCCCCCCCCAUGCCUCACACCCUGCACAGCAGCACCCAGAGCCCCGUGGAGACCUUUAAGAAAGAUCUAGUGGGUAUGGAGGACAGCAUCCCUGCUGCCAGUCCCCACAAGCCUGGUCGUGCUCCGCCAACCGGCAGAACCAUGAUAAAGCCCAAAGAUGAGGUUUGGGGGGCUGGCAGGGCCUGUGGGUGGGUGGCCCGCGCUGAAGAAAGCUCACAUCACCAUGGGGCUGGGUUGUCUUUGUUUGCUUUUUCAGUGACGGUGACCAUCCCAGCAGUCCCAGAGAAGCCUGUGGACCUGCCCAAGCAGGGGUCAGUGCCUUUGACAAGGUCUUUCCUCAGCAGCCAGGUGACACCAACAGCAAUGGCCAAUGACAGAGGACCCUGUCAGUUCAUCUGCCUUUGA